UUGGAAGCAUUUGGGGCAUCAUGAAAUAGAUGCAGUUUGCCCUAUCUGACAUAUAGUAAUGGUUGCUAUAUCAACUGACAAUUGGCCUCUGACAUCUGACCUGACGACAUCUAAAGAGUUUCUGCACCCCGCCUGUGCUUCAAACCUCUACUUGUUUCCAUUGGAGAGAAACCAAAGUAAAAAUGUUCUUUUGUUUUUUAAAAUGAGGAUAUAUUUGGAAAUUGACUUAAAAAUAGAUUACAAUCCUUGAUUUUUACACAGCUAAGCAUAUUAUCACCCAGAGCAGCUCGGAAUUUUUUUUGCCAGAGUUCGGAGUUCUCUGACUCCAAUCGGAGUUCUCAAACUCUGAUCAUAGUCCGCCUAAGGUGUUUACAUGCACUUCAGUUAUCCGGUCUUAAUCAGAGUAAGGCAAUAAUUUGGUUCUCUUGAGUUUCAUGUAAACGUACUGACUGAUGUUCACUGACAGGUUUUUGAAACAUCCAUAGAGGAAUCCCAUGAAUAAGGCUUUGGCUCCACAGACACACUCCUGACAAAUAAAUGCUGUCUUUUCCUGUGUUUGAUGUAUUGUAACGGAUGUACCUGCAUGUAUCUCUCCUGUAAAACAAACUGAGCUGCUUUCACAUGUCAACAUCAAAGCCAGCCCAUGAAAGGUUGCAGCCACUUCAUCAGCUCUAUUUACACUUUGAUGACACACUAAUGGAUCACAGUGUUCAGACAACAUUGAGCCAUUACCUGCUCCACUAAAUCACAUGAAUCUGUUGUCAGGCUGUAGGAAAUGGAGUCUGAGUCUUUGUUUUGCUGAAGUUGAAGCAUAAAAUAGCAGCUCGGUCUGAGCGUCUGAGUCUUAUUUGGGAAACCGAACCCUACUUGUGGUGGCUCAGUGUUUUCCCAUCUGUGGAAUGAGGUGCAACAUCAGCACUAAGCUACCUCGCUGCACACUCACAGAUGAUUUAACAGCUAGCUCUUAAGCGCAGCCACGGAUUAAUAGAGCUUGACACAAAGCCUUUUCACUGGCUUUAUCUGUUUCUCCAAAGCUUGGGGGAACUGAGCACUGGUGCUUUUCCCAGCGUGACACCAGUAUCAUUUGUGCUGUUUCACACUAUUUUCUUUUCUUUUAAAACUUAAAGGUUUAUGCUGCGCUGGCAAGCAUUGCAACAGACUAGUGGCAAUUUCCUUCCUCAGAGAUUCACAUCAAAGAAGAAUUGACUCCUUUGCCCAAAGAUUAGCCUCAAUCAAGUCCCAAUUUAAUGCAAAGCCUCUGUGGGUCAUCUAAAUUUGUGGAGGACCCGCAGACACAAGAGUUUGUGGUGAUGCUGCAUUGGAUUAGGGGAGGUUAUCAGGGCUGACUUCCUAAUCCACUUGUUUACAGCUCCCCAUUUUUGUUCUAGAUACCCAGAACGGUAAAUUGAAGCUUUGAAAUUUGACACAGCUCAAAAAUAUAAACACUAAACUUGAAGGAGGUUUGGGGAUUUGGGGAGCUAUUGAGGUCUGUAUCUUUAAUCUGUGUGCACCUGAUACCCUGCAUUUUCCAUCAAAACCUCAGCAGUGGAAGAAAAAACUGCUCAGACCCGGCAGAAAAGUAACAGCAGAGGAGAGCAGAGUUGCUCGACAAUUUAACCCUGCUAUCCAUUUAGUCAUGAACAGAGACGUAGAUAAAUCAGCAAGGGUUGUUCCCAAUGAACUGAACAUCAAGUUAAAAGCUGCAUAAAGUCUGACUUUCCUCCUACUUCAGAAAGAGGUUAUAUAAAGUAAGCAAGGUGCUCUGUGGCAGCUGGGGAUGCCAACAAUCCGGUCUAACAUGGAUUCAAUCAGCAAUACACACUAUUAAAACUCCUGUUUACACACUUGGAGCACAUAUCACUAAGACUACUGUGAUACUGAACCCACUAUGUGUGAACCUGUUAUCAAAAGAGUACACUCGUUUGGUUGUAUGGCAGGGUUACAUUAGAUCGUAAUCUAAACAUUAUUUGUAAAAGUUCCACAAAUAGGCUUUUCCAGACACAGUUCUAGUGUUUGUGAGGUUUUCAUCAACUCUGUCAGCAUCCAUAGUGUUUAGUCUUUUUUUUUUAACUGUAACUAAAUACACUGAUAUUACAUUUCAAUGUUUGAACUACUGCUUGAAAUGCAUGUAAUUAUGGAGAAAUGCCAUCAAAUUCAUGAUUUCUGUCCUCAUUUCAAGACUAAAAGUCAUUAAAAUUUAGCGAGAGGACUGUUUUGUGAGACAUGUUAAAGCCUACUUUCUACUGAUUGAAAAGAGGUGGAAAUCAUGUCUUGUCUUGUGUGUGCAGAUUUGAUUUCAACCAGUUUCAACCAAAUUUCACUUCAUCCUCACUGGGAGCUAACCCAAGCAGGGCUUUAACAACAAAUGCAGCCUUAGCUGGUUUUAUCAGUGAGGCAACUCGAAACACAUGCAGGGUUUGCUCUUAGAGGCUUUAAUCCAUCACUAAUUCAUCUUAAUCGAUUGUAAUCUGCCAUUUAUUUAUAUUUUUGAUCAGAAAAACUACAGUAUUUCCUUAAAGAGUGUGUUGCCAUGGAAGAGUAAUUGACAUAAAUUGCAUAAAAUGGAAAAAAUACAAGAACCACAACAUAACUGCAUAAGUGGAGCUGUAUAAACGAGGAGAAAUUGCGUUGUAUUUUUUGAAUACAAUACACAAAGUAACAAGCUGAAGCAUUAUACUUACAAACUUUUUCCAGGCAAUGCUUUUUUGUUUCAUCUGUCAUCUUUAAAAUACCCUUGUGUGAAAACUUCCACAGGGAUUUAACAUGAGAGUAUAAUGAACAUAGGGUAACAGCAGUUUCCAUUUCUAAACACUGUUGAGCCCAACCUGAAUGUGACCUUCCAUAGUACAAAGUCAGUCAAAAAAAAAACCCAGAGCCAUAUUGAAGUUUUCACAAGAAAGGCAGUCAGCGAUAGAUCUGCACUGCUCAGAAUGUGAAUUAAGUCACGGCAGAGGAACUUGCGGAAAAAAAUAGCGCUGAGAUUAAGAGGAGAUUCUUUGGAGAUGAAACGGAGGAUUGUGCUUCUGCUAAUUAUCUCCCUUAGGGAAAGAGUCAGCCUUUUUUUUGUUUGAAAUUGUGCAAAUCUUGUGACUUUCUCCAUGUGCUUAUACUUGGAAGUGAGUGAUUUUCCAAUGAUGUCUUGCUGUAAAACAAAAAGCUAAAUUUAGCAGCUCAAUCUGUCACUCCAAUCCAAACCAUACAUCUAAAAACACCUUAGUUGUCACGUUGAAUAUCACAUGCACUUUGCCUUAUAACCCAUGUUGGUAUGAAUCAUACAACUGUAAAUAUUUGCAAAUAUUUCCUUUAAGCCAACCUCUAACGACCAGGCGUCUACCAUCUGGUGACCUUGCAGUAUAAUCUUCAUUGCGUGAUAUAGUUGGACAAUAGAUAGCUGCUGUAUUGGCUGAACUUAGCUGGCCUACUCCAGAGCUGUGGGGGAGAGCCUAACAAAACACUACAGUUUUUUUUUUUUUUUUUUUUUGUGGUUUAACAGAAAGUGACAACAAAUCCUCCUCUUUAAUAAUCCACAGUCUGAGCUGUGUACAGAUCAAAGGGAGAAAAUGGCAGCCGUGUUUUAUGUAGAUGCUUGCCUCACUGUAAAAACAGCAGCUCUAUUUCUCUGUCUUGCCUUAUUUUGCGGUGAUAUUUCUGUGUCUAAAAAAAAAUACUCUCCUUGGACCGUUAAGUCUUACAUUCACCAGAAAAACACUGCCGGUGAACUACUGACAGAUGAGGACUUUUUUUGACCUCAACAGAAAUCAUUGCCAAACCCUCAGAAUGGAAGAGCAGUGUGGAUCAUAAAUGCAGCUCGAGGAGGAAACCUCGGGGAUCAUUGACAAGCUGUCACCAAAAUACAAUGGAAUAAGAAGGAUUUUGAACCAAUUACCAAGAGUGCCUGCUAUUACUGUGAACUGGAUACAUGGAGCAGGAUCUUUGGAAUCUGUACUGAGUCUCUUUUUAGCUGUCUUUCUGGAGCAUCCAUAUGACUGAAAAUACCAGCGCUGUGAUAUUUUAUGUCAAGCACUAAUUUACAGGUGUGUUCAGACUUUUUGAUUGGGCGAAUGACCUAUGCAUGGAUAGCAUAAAGUAUAUUUCUAUAGACACCAAUAAAAAGACAUGUUUAAGUUUGCUAAGUAACAUAACAGAGAUUCCACAUAUACAUCUUUUGAGUUUAAAGCUUUUAUGCAUAUAAAAUGGACCAAAAUUUAUAUCGAUUCAUUUUAAUGAUAUCCUAAAGCAAGUCAGACCAUCAGGAAUAAGAUUGACGAUUUGAUAUUUUAAUUAUCAAUGCCAGAAACUUGUUUGAGCGGGUAGCUGUCAGUCAAAAAUCUGUGGAAACAACCUGGGUUUUACAUAUUUCCAUCUGCAUUUCUACUAGGCUGUGGUAGUAUGGAAAGCAAUAGUCAGGUAGAUAUGUCAUUCAUAGUACUGUCUUCUCACAGUUCCAGUGCUAACCUGUCACAGCAUGUCAUUUGCACAGCAUCUUCACUACUGUGGACAAGAAUAAAUAUUUGAAAGAAACUCCUCCAUACAGAGAGGGCUGGCCAAGUCUUCUUUGGGGUUACUUUACCUAUAGUGCUGGCCCUAUUCACAAACCCACUCAGUGUGUGUACAUGCAGAGUCAAGUCAAGCUUGAUUACAUGAUUUAAUCAGAGUACUGUUCUGGCUCUAGUCUGCAAGAACUAGGUUAGAAUCAAUUUAUGUUGAGUUUAUGUCUUAGCUCUCUAGCAACAUUAUUGCUUUUGCUGUUGCUGUAUAGGGUCCCUGUCACAGCACUAGCCACAAAACAUCUUUUUAGCUUUGCCUAAUUUCUUUAGCAAAGAGACCAAACACAACUCAGCCACUCUCUUCCAGCAGCCGCUUGUUUGUACAAAGACCUCAGAUGAGUCCAUUACCAACUGCAAUGGGGUGUCGCAGCUCAAGGAAGAACAUUUAUGAUAAUUUCUUCAUGGAAAUCUAAUUGGACCAAGAGGCUAAGGCAGAAGAACUCUUGCGUCUGCAGUGCAAAAUGAUUAAUAUGAUGAUUAUUAUUUCAAGGAAAUGAUAAAGUAAUAAAGUUAUAAAAGAAAAAGGAAGGAUUUUAAAUGCAUUGAGUGACUUCUGAAACUUUCACCAAAGAAAGCAACAGUUUUGUACAAGUGAGUAAACUUGCUAGGUCAGUCAAAAGAAAGGUUGACAUGCCAUUUCCAAUAUGGUGACCACUGUUAAUAAACUUAAAAACUCCACCUCAGGAACCUCUGGUUGAUGUCACUGAGACUACAUCUAUGCUGCCUAUGGUGUCAUUAUACUGGGUUUAGUAACGGUGUCAAAGUCAAAAGCCAUCACCACUGCAUUCUUGGCACCACAGCCCAGUGAGUUGAUCUAAAAAUACAUUUAGCCUCUGUCAAGACAAAUAGCCAAUCAAAGCUCUGGUUUUUGGUUUGGCACCAAGGGUGGCCAUUUGUUUUCAAAGGGGCCGCCAUCACCCCUGACACUUCUUUGGACACAGCCCUGCUGCGCUGACUCACUUUUUCAAACCUCAGCCCAUUCUGAUAAUUUUCCCAGGAUUCAUUAUAUCCUCUGGCAACAAACUGAAAAACAGCAACUGCGGUGGUUUAUCUCACACAGCUUUUUUAUGUGGUCAAUAUUCUUUUCGCCUCUUCAUAAUGUGAAGAUUAGAAGGAGGCUGUCGACUGAAGUAGCAGAGCUCUAACAAGAUUGCCAAUUUAGAGUGGCUACUGCUGACCACACGAACACACACACACAGAGACACAGAUCCACACACAGACCCACACACUCAAAACUAGACGAGAGAGAUAUGUGUAUGUGUGCGAGAGUGAGGGAGGGAGGGAGAAAGCGAGCGAACAUCAAUCUUGCCCAACAUGAUUUGCUGACUGGAUGAAAGCACUCCAUCUGUCUUACGCUGUUUAUUGAAGGAAAAUUGGUCGAAUUUAGCACAGUCGCCCCACAAAUAGUGAGUGAGAAAAAAAAAGAUUAGGAGAUGUCCUUGAGCACACCUGUGGUGGAGCGAGAUAUUACAGCAAUCGUAGGAAUCAAAGAAAAAACAAAAAUAUUACACCAGAUACAUUAUUACCACCUACAGUGCAGUCUGAGUGUUUGGACGGAGGUCCAUUUUUCUGUUUUCUUGGCUCUUCUGCUGCAGCACAUUGAGUUUGGACCAAUAACAAUGGGGUUAAAGUGCUGACUUUUAGCUUUGAGGGUGUUUGGGAGUUUCACAAAGUGUUUUUUUUUAUGAGGAGCUCUCGGUUUUUGAACAGCACAGCAGGAAAAUGACAGAAUUUAGAUUCAGACAAUGUUUACCACAGAUAUGCAAGAAGUCGACACAUUCAACCUCACAGCCCUUUGUUCAUUUUGGAUCUCAUGCUGGGGUACAGGUCCCAAAAAACUGAAAAUAUAGACCCAAAUACUAAAAGACUCACCAGUGUAAUUACUCACAACCCCCCCAAAGGAUUGCACUCAAAACACACAACAACCAAACAAUAAUUAGCUUAUUAUUGUCUUCUUGGAGUAAAAGUUAAGUGCAAGUAAGGUCAUGUUUUUCAAAUUAGUCUUGCUGAACUUAUUGCAGUUUGCUGUGUCAGCGCUCUCAGAAGAAUUAACAAGACAAAAGGUUGUGCCCUGCCAAAGCCCUAAUCUGCGCCCACACUUCGCCCUCAGCCGUGUGUGUCAGUCCAUGACUGCUAAACGGCAUGCUCAGGGAGAGGCAGAUGUGGCUGGACGCCCCAGCGGCUAAUUGCAGCAGAGCAUGUACUGUACAGUCAUGGUGAAUGGAAUGUCUCAAACAGGGUUACUAAAAGUCUUUCCCAGCAUAGAGUGACUGCGUACAUCUUUACUUUGUUUCAAUCAACAGCCAAAAAGAUGUUCAGAGGAAUAGUUUUGGUUCAUAUGACUCUUGUGCCUUUACAAGCUUUAAAUGUCAUAUGUUUGUGCGUGUGGCCCACAGACUUUAGUAGAUACAUCAUAGGGAAAAGCAAGGUCAACUUGUUACCCCUGUGAUUCUCAGUCUUAAAAGGGUUUUCUGGUGUAAAAUUAAUUUAGGGUCAACACACCGUAACACUGAGUUAGACGCCCCUUCGAGAGAUGAAUGUUGCUAACCGCUUGCUUCUUUAGUUAUACCACCUAUAGUAAUGACCACAGAAUAGCAAUACACAGCGGUCUGAGGAGCGAUAAACAAACCUCAACCGAAACGCCACUCUGUAGCCACAAAUAAUGCCCAGAACAGCACCUAACUUCAUCAACAGUACAUAUAGGGUACCAGCCACAGUACUAGCCACCAAACAUCUUUUUAGCUUUGCCGAAUUUCUUUAGCAGGGAGACUAAACACAACUUACCCACACUCUUCCAGCAGCUGCCUGUUUGUACAAAGACCUUGGGCGAGUCCAUUGAUUGCAGUGGGGUGACGCAGCUCAAGGAAGAACAUUUAUGAUCAUUACUUUAUCAUUUCCUUGAAGUAAUAAUCACCAUAUUAACCGUUUUGCACUGCCGACGCAGUAGUUCUUCUGCCUUAGUGUUUCGGUCUGAUUGCAUUUCCAUGAAGAAAUGAUCAUAAAUGUUCUUCCUUGAGCUGCGUCACCCCACAGCAGUCUGAUAUAGACUGGCCUGAGGUCUCUGUACAAACAAGCGGCUGCUGGAAGAGAGUAGGUGAGUUGUGUUUAGUCUCUUUGCUAAAGAAACCAGGCAAAGUUAAAAAGAUGUUUGUUGGCUAGUGCUAUGGCUAGGACCAUAUAUGUACUGUUGAUGAAGUUAGGUGCUGUCCUGAGCAUUAUUUGUGGCUAUAGAGUGGCGUUUCAGUUAAGGUUUGUGUGUGGCUCUUCAGACUGCUGUGUAUUGCUAUCCUGUGGUCGUGACUAAAGAAGCAAGCGGUCUGCGACAUUCAUCUCUCGAAGGAGCGUCUAACUCAGUGUUACGGUGUGUUUGACUCUAAAUUAAUUUUACGCCUGAAUAUCCCUUUAAAGCCAAGCUGGACUAACUGGGUGCUAGCAAUGCCUGUUAAAUAGUAACGCACUUGUCCAAACCUAGUGAAUUAUUCCUGUGAUAUACAAUAUUGAGAAAUUAGGUUGUAAAGCUGCCAUUUCUGACAAUUCAACUUUACAAUCAGUCACAAAAUUGUGGUUUAUAAAAAAAGGAUUGAAGGUUUAUUUCAGCCUAAAGUGUUGUUAGCACCAAACACCCUCAUUUUGUGACUGUUCUCUCAGGACUCUCGGCUAAAAUCAUUUCUUAGUCCUGUCUUUUUCAUGAACUUUGGUGGUAAAAAGUCAGCAGAUUUGGGAGUUGAUUUUUAAACUUGCAGUUUGGAGCCAGUCCCAGUAUUUGGGUCAUGUAACUCUGCACAUGCAUGGUUAGACCUUGACUGGCUGAUGCAUGACCUCUGUUGUGUGUGAUUAAUCAGAAGUUUUCCUCUGCUUGCAGUUAUAUUGAAAACGAAUUCUAUUUUUUUUUUUUUACAUAAAGUUUGAUGAAACUGACACAAUGAGGAGCAACUUUCACUGCUGCUUUUCUCUUUUUAUUUACUUUGAUCCAAGUGGAUCAAUUUUUAUCUGCUGUGGCGCCUAUGAAAGUCAAACUGAGUAUACACUGUAUCUGCAGAAGAGUCUUUAAAAUUUUUCUUUUUGCAUUUUCUUGAAAAUGUCAUUGCCUCAAAGAUGUUAUAAUGCAUAAGGGGCAUUUUGAACAAUUAUAAGACUUAUUACUAAAAAGAAGCAAAAUUCAAUGCUGCCAAAUAACAGCGAAAGCCAGUGAUCUGAUCUGAAGUCCAAACAGAUGGAAAUUAUUUGAUACUUUCCUUUCUCCACAAAUCCUACCUGUUUUACCAUUUCUACAUGAAAGUAUCAAACAUUAUUUUAUCCCUGAGUACAUGUAUUGUACAUGUAGGACAAGCCAUGGCUGUAGAUAGCUUUGAACCCAGCCUUAGGAUAACUGCAUGAUGCAUUCAUAGAAACAGCUUGGAAAUGGUCCCUCUUUUGGCUGGUGGUCCUAUUUGCUUUAGUUUGAUACAGUCAGGAAUCAAAUCAUCUGGAAUCAACAGUUUUUUUUAAUACUGCCACAAACAAAUAAACAAACAAAUAAAUAAAUACAUAAAUAAACUUUGAAAUAGCUAUAAUCACUUUAGGUAAUUGAAUAAUUUCCAAAUUGUUUCAUCACUAACCCUUAACCUGAAUCCAGACCGAGGACUUUUAUCGCUUGUUCCAUAUUCUGUUACCAAUCCAGUCCUCAGUGUUUGUCCCCCUGAAAGAUUCCCACCCACUGAUUAUGAUCUAGUAUAAUGAUGAUGUGAUUAUGAAUUCUGACAAAAAUCUAAAGCUUCCCUGGACUCGCCUGCUGUCACUCUAUAAGCCUGUGAUCACCCUGGCGUGCUCAGCCUCGCUAAGUUUAGCAGCAUAAUUACAGGUUAAUAAUGCUGCAUUUUGCAUCGCAUGGCAGCUGUUGAGGAAAAAGGAGGACAGCAUUCUGCGAGGAGCCGGUCCAAGUGAUCACAGACCCUGCAAAUGUUUGGCAGGCUGGGUCUGUCUUUCUGCUGCACUCUGUUGGGAUUUUGCUCUGGCAAAGUCUCUGCUCAGUUUCUUUGUGUGGUUUUCUGCUGCUUAGGCAUGUUUACACUGCAGUCGACAUGGUGAUGACUGGCUGUGUUUACUAUACGAGAAGAGACUUAGAUUAUAAUUCCUGCAGGCGUAAUUUAACGCUCUGCUUCAGACAGUCGACCAGAACAACUAGCCACACUGUCAGUCAGACUAAAGGAAGGGGAGUAGUAUUUUUGCCCGGACUUUGUUGUUUCGCUGGAUGUGUGUCAGCAAUCAUCUCUGGUGUUUGUGACAUUGAGGAAAGGAGUUCAUGUAGCUUGGACUAGAUGUCAACCAGGAGAGUGAAGUGAUGAGGUGUGACACAGUUUGAGCCCUCUCCUGAGAAGUGGAAAACAAGUUUUCAUUGCACUUGUCACUUAUUGCAGUUUCUGUCAUAAGAAUGAAGAGUAAUCUUUCUUGUCUGCAAGGGAGACCUUUCUUUGCUCCAUUAGCAGUUGUGACCAAGGCAACAUAAAAACUAUAAAACCUUAUGUUCAGUCUGUUUAUACACCUAAUUUAUUUGUUUUUAAUAUUAACAUUUAUUAUUGAAUUCACUGUGAGGCAAGCUGACUAAUAUUACAUGAGAUAACACAAGAAACUUUCUAUAGAAGAAAAAGUUUAUGCUAAAACUUUGAAUACUACAAAAUCUCAUUAGGAAAAUACUUAAAUGCAAUAUCACUGAAUUAAUUCCAAAAUCCAUACACUAUUAAGGGAAAACACAAGUGCUGUGAACUCUGUCUUAAAAAAAUUGGCUACUGUUGACAUCCAGAACAUGACUGACCAAUUUUCACUUUUUAAUAUAAUCAAUACAACAACAUACAAGUGCAAUGAUACCUAACUUUGACUGAAGAUAUAAUUUGUGAAAGAUGAAUUUGUAAAGUAAUUUUUAUUCACUGGUGGCUGUGACUUAGUGAAUGGAUUUGGAGUGAAUAAAUAACAUCUUCGGCCAGACUGUUCGUUAAACUUGCCUGCAGAUAUUUCCACUUAAAACUGUUUUGAGGAUCAUUAUUAAUAUCGAUUUUGGUGCCUCUGUGCACAAAGAUGUACAUCUCUUCUUUCUCUCGCUUGAUUUCGUCCUGUACGUGCCAGGGUAGUACUCUCUGAAAAAAAUCUUAUCUUGUUUAUUUUUGGCAGUCCAAUAUAUAACUCUUUGUUAAUAUUUGUUUCAUCUGCUCCGAAACUCCCUCACAAAGGCUUUGAGAAUUUCAGUACAGAAAUUUCACUCAAGUUGUUGAUAGUCCUGUUUGCUUUUGCAGAUCAUAAAGAAGCAUUCCAGCUCAUUUCAACCUGUUUCACCAAAACUGAGUAGCUACCUGUCAGGCUGCAGAUAAAAAGUAGAAUAUUUCUGUGGGCAAAAGCUGCUCACUUGUUAACAGUCUUCAUUUUUUUGCAUGAUCUUAAAAAUUAAUUACCAUAAAAAUCAGUGUGCAGUGGCCAGAGAAGUGGUACAAAUAUUGUAAAACGAAAGAAACCGAGCCAAAGCACCUGGCUAGAGUGCCUUAUUCUUCUCCUUAAGCUCUUUUUUCCAACAGUAAUAGAUCACAAUUAGAAACUACUAUCAGUGUGUGAGGGCUGUACUCCAGCAGUCCACACUAGCUCUGACCUUCAUUCAACUGUCUUUUUACCAAUUUUCAAGUCGACUGUGUGAGGUCAAAAGUAGGAAAUAAGAAAAAAGGCUUUCGGAGACACUUUCUAUGCAGAUUUCACUUUUCACUCAUCCAUACGUUUCACAAAAGUCAAAGGUGCUUUCAUGGAGCCAGAAGCUGCCAGUUCUGCAGCCAUUGUUUUGCAUGAAAGAAAGUGAACAUGCCUAGCUAUAUGCUGCUCUCAUGGUUGUUGCUGAAAGUUGUACGCUUGUAACCUACUCAUUAUCCUGAAUAGCACACCUUGAAAUUGGCAAUGAAAAAACAUAGAUCAGAGACAUGAAGAGAUGCAGGAUCAACGUCAAAGUUUGAUCAACAAUUCUUGCUCAAAAUUAACAAUGUACAUGAUAUUUUAGAAUUAGAUUUAGAAUUUAGAAUUAAUUAAGUUAAUUAAGACACAAUUUGAGCAAUGACUGAAGGAGGAUUUAGUGAGUGUGGGAGAAUUUAAUAAAAGAUUGACUUUGUCUAUUAUAUUAGCAGCUGAGAAACAAUACCGAAAAGUAAAUGAUGCACCAAAUAGAAGAGUAUACCAUGUUGGGAUAGCCGUCGCAAGGAUGCCAUUAAGAGAGGCAAUUGGACUUUUACACACAACUAAAAAACACCACACAUUGGAAUAUCUUAUAGAAUACAGAACAGCUCAAGCAGAUAUGAGAAGAGUAAUGAGGAAAGCCAAACAAACCUAUUGGAUACAACAUUGCAACACCAAAGAAGGAGAAACACAAUAAACAGAUAUCUGGGGAACGGUAAGAAGAAUGACAGGAGUCAAGAAAAAGAUUUCAUUUCCAGUUCAAGCAAGUGGUAACAAAACAGCAAUACUGAAAAAGCAGAACUAUUGACAGAAACUCUGGUUAAAGUUCAUGGUCAAUCCAACUUAUCAGAUAAUGCUAAACAAUACACUUGAGGCACCCAGGCAUAAAUGUAAGGAAAACAACAACUGAUUGUAUGGACCUGCCAUUCAGUCUACACAAAGUUAAGAGGGCUAUAGCAAAAACCAAGACAAUUAACACCAGGAAAAGACAGCAUUUGUAUGCACCCCUGGAAGAUUGUGCACUCAGGUAGUUUUGGCAUUAUUCAACAAAAUAUGGAGCAAAGAGGAAACUCCAUCAACCUGGAAACAAUCAGUCACAUCAAUACCCAAGCCAGGUAAAGACCCAUCAGAUCCAUCAAGCUUCAGACCAAUAGCACUUACCUUGAAAUUAGGGAAAACAAUGGAAAAAAUUCAUUUACAUAUUAGUACAUCUCAUCACUCUUGAAUUGGUAAUUCAUUUUGCUCGUUUACUUUCACCUUAUGUAAACUUUUAAAGCACAUUUUAUCCCGCGUUUGUUUGCGUGAUCGUUGGGUAACAUUUCACAACAAAGGCAAAGUAAGUUCAAGCAAACAUAGUCUUCAGUUUCAGUUACUUUUAUCAGGUUUCAGAAUUUAACACUGUAAUUGUUUGUUUGUCCAUACUCACUUUUGUUUGUUCUUUGUCUAGCUCACCAUGUGGUCCUCAGGUUCAAAAAAAGGGGCUGGCCCAGUACUUCCUGGGUUCAUAUGGAUUUGAUGAUGUCAGAGCUGACAUCAUGGGCUUAGACCAACUGUGGGUUUUUUUCCUUUGGUGAAGUGUUUCUCUUUGGUCAUACUUACCAUUUUUAGGGAAUGUAGUGAUAUGAUUUAUUUGUUUGAGGUUUCCUUUAUUUAAGUCAAGUACAGACAGGUAAUAUAGGAGUUUUAUUUCAUAUCUUUGACUUAAGAGAGACCUUAAACUCCCCUUGUGGUACUUUGGUACACUCUCCUGCAGGUUGGGUGUUGAUUGAGCUCCUUUAAAAGUAGAGGGGAGUUUUCCUCUGUGUAAGGGAGGUGAGGCCUAGCUGUCUUGAACAUGUGAUUCCAUUUGAGCUCCAUUUUGUUUGAUUUUGGUGAAAGUUUUGUUGGUUUUGAUGGAGGACGUGUGGAUUGACCUCACUGUAAAUAAAAAAAAAAACUCACCUCAAGGAAAUCCAAAGUUGUGUUUCCUUCCUCCCACCAUCCAUGACACUUGAGCCAAACUACAUUUCAAAUGGUAAGUAAGAGAUAAAUAUUCUAUUAAAAAAGUAAAAAGCUCUACUUUCAUGAUGUCCUUGGAGUCUGAAAUGGGGAUAGCACAAGGAAAUAAAGAAAUGGAUGUUGCUGUAUUUUUAGAUACUGAAAAAGCAUAUGAUAUUUUUAUGAUGAGGGGGUCUUUUGAUUAAGUUAGGUGAGCUAGGAGUUGAAUAUAAGUUAUAUAACUAGGUCAUGGACUUCCUAUUUGUAAAGAAUAUUGAGGUAAGGGUGGGAAUGGAAGAUGUAAAAGUCGAUCACGGUAAUGUGUGCAGUUCUGUAUUGUUUGAUGUAAUGAUUAAUGAUAUAUUUAAACAAAUUGACAGAGGUAUAAUUAAGUCAUUAUGGGGCCUUUUGGAUAGGGGUUGUAAUUUGACAUUUCUCAAAAAUAACAUGCAGGCUGCAGGGAAUAAGGUGGAGGAGUGGGUAGAUCUGUGGGCUUUCAGGUUAUCCAUUGCUCAAUUACACGUAAUCUAUUUUUCAAACUGGCAUUGAGAAAAGACUCUUAAAUUAUAUGAAAAAGUACUCAAACAAGUCACUGUAGUGAGUCUCCGGGGGUAUUAUUUGAUGAAAUGCUGACCUGGAAACACCAUAUAGAUAAAACCAAAGACAGGUGUAAAAAAGUAAAUAACCUCUUAAGAUGCCUGUCAGGAAGAGACCGGGGAGACUCUAGAGGGUCAGUGCUGAAUAUUUAUCAGGCCUUAUGUGGGCCACACAAGAUUAUGGCAGCAUAGUUUUUGCAUCUGCAGCAACAAGUCGCCUGAAGUGAGUUGAUGGAGAACAAAGUCAAGGCCUAAAAACAUGCUGUGGAGCAUUUAAGUCAUCACUAGUAACCGUGCUCCAGGUAGAAACCAGGGAAAUGCCUCCACAAAUGAGGAGAGAAAAACUACUACUGGCACACUGGGUAAACCUGCAGGGGCACCUGGAUUCUCAUCCAGCAAAGGCUGUCUUAAAUGUCUACUGGGAAAAUGGGCAUGGUAGUGAGGGGAAAAGUGGACCUGACUACCCAGGGCCCGAGUAGGGAGAGGGGCUCAUGCAUGAAAAUCCAGAUUUUUAUUUUAUUUUUUUUGCCCACGCGCCUCAUGCACUGGGAUGGAUAGGGGCCCACUGACAUUGAGAGUGUACAGGGCCCAGAAUUUGGUUCGCCCCUGGCUGAGAGCACAGGAAGACCAUAUUAAAAGCUUUGGAUGGGAGGCAAAUAUAGCAGCAGAGAGGGUGGGUCUACAUAAGUUUAACUUCAGUCCAACAGUGCCACUUCCUAAUAUAGCGCCUUUGUUAUUCAACAUACCAUCCGCUGACAUGAGCAUUCAUAGCCAGUUAAAAAGGAAAGAGUAAAUCGAUAAUAAAUGGGGAAAUAACAGUCAACCACAUCAACCAGCCCUACAAUCAGAAGGUAACAAUAUAGACAGCCGGCUCAAAGGACCCUGAGACUGGACGAUCAGGUAGUCUAUGUCCCAAAGCACAAGGCCUUUAGGAAAAAAACCACAGAUCAUAUAUGAAUAUACUUAGCGGUAAUAAUAAUAUAUUUUAUUUAAAAGCGCCUUUCUGGACACCCAAGGACACUGUACAGGGCAUUAAGAACACAGUUAAAACACAGUUAAAAUAAAUAAAAACAACAUACAGGUAUGAAGAUGGACAGUUACAGGGAAUAUGCAAUUUGGAACAGAUGUGUUUUGAGUUUUGAUUUGAAGUGGGGUAGUGAGUCCAUGUUUCUGAGAUCUGGGGCCAUAAUAGUGGCAUUGGAGAGCAUGGACAAACACAAAAUAGGAAAUGCAAUCAUUGCCUCAGAUAGUUAUGUAGUAUUAAGCAUUGAAACAGGACAGUCUUGCAGACAGGAUUUACUGAUAGAAAGUUACAGCAACGUUGGUUUCGCUUGGGGUUCUACCCACGUUGGGGUGGAGGGGAUUGAAGUGGUGGACAAACUAGCCAAGGAGGCCUGAAAAUCACAUUCAGAAAAAAAUCUGAAUUCUGUUCAGGAAGGCAAUUAUAAACAUAGGAUGAUAAAUAAAUGGUGGAGAGAAAAGAACACAGGCAGACAUCUAUACAGCAUUCAAAAACAGGUGGAUUUAGACAGAAGAGUGGGCAGGACCAGAAGGGAGGAAAUGAUAUUGACACGUCUACGAAUAGGACAUAACUGGUUUAAUUAAUUUCCACAUAAAAUUGGAAAACAGCCGACAGGAAGCUGUGAAAUACACGAGGAGCCAGAAACUGUAAAACACAUGCUCAUAUUAUGCAGGGCCUGUGAAGGGAGAAGGUGAGCACUGAUAUCAGCUCUCUAAGCUCAAAAUAUCAGUUUUACCCUAGAAAAUAUCAUCGGAAAAGCAUCGCAGGAAUUAUACGUACAAACAUUUGAGCAAGUAUUUGAAGGAGACAGGGCUAAUUGGCAGGAUUGUUUUUUUUAUAUUUUAUCUUUCAAUUUUAUGUUUUUUCCCUCACAUCUAAUGUUUCACAUGCCUGCCCGGUAGGUAGCAGUAAUGCUCCUUCAUGCUGGCUGCCAACUGCCAAAUAAAUCACAAGAAAAAGAAGAAAAAACAUCUUUUGUCCAAAGUCAAUGAGAUACCUAAAUCAAACAAAUGGGCUGUAUGUGAUGUAAAGUGGAUCCAAAUAAAAAAGACUGGUAAUUUGACUUUGGAGGUCUACAACCUUUUGUCGUAUGGCUGUGUUCAUCAGACUUAUGGCCUGUAAAGAAAAAAUCACCAUCAUCCUCACUACUUGGUUAAAUGGUGCUGGUUUGCUAAAUAUGACUAAAGCUUUCAAGUUGUUGACCUUUGUGACUCUAAAGCUGCUUCUAACUUUUGUUAUACAGAAAAAUGAAAACAAAGAGCUGAUUGAAAACAGAUCACGCUUCACCAGCUGUGCCAUGCAGUCAAAGCACUGCCUGCAAAACCACAGGUGGAGUUAAAGCAAAACGAGCGUGAAAGAAGCAUAACACCAAAACUGCACUUAAAAAUAAAACUACAUUUUACUGAGUAAAUCAUAGUUUAGUUGCCUUGUUUUAGAAAAUGAUGUUACCUGUCAUGUACUUUUUGUUUCCAAAAAGUAGUUUAAUUGACCUUGUGACCUCAUCACCACUUUUUUAACCUUGUUGACCCACAUCUAAAAAAACGUAUUAGGAUGUAUCACACAGGAUGAUGAGCAAGAACAAAGUAGUUCCAUUUAAAACUACUUUUAAUAACUUGAAUAAUCUACAUUAAUGAAAGUACUGCUUUGCUGUUUUCUGCUCAAGUUUUUCAGUGUUGUGAAUCCUGAUUUUUCAGGGCCCAGAGUUUUGGAACCUGAGGUAUAGGCAUCUUCAAAUGUUACCAGAGGGCAUGGGAGUGUUGUGAUACAAUGCUGCUUGCUGUUAAAAAUACAGAAAACCCAUGAGAACCUAUGGAACAGAUGGCAUAAGAGCUUGUGCUGCACAAUAGAUUAAAGCUGUUUUUGAGAUGAAUUAUUUGAGCUUAUAGCCUUUCUCUGACAAAAAAAAUAUAUAUUUUGAAAAAGGAGGAGGUGACAUGCAGCAAAUCCCGACAGAAACAGGAAUUAGUUGUAAAUGACCAGUACUACAGGACUACAGCAUCCAUACAUGCUAUGGUUUUUUUACACACAGAGCCAAACCAGGGCCCUAUAAACUGCAGUUUUGUCAUUAGUUUUUGUCAUCACCAGGUGUAAUGGUCAGGCUUUAACAUCAUGAAUGCAGCAAGAUGACGCCCAAGUUAGCAUCAGCUACCCUCACAUUUAUUAGUAGCAAUUUAGUGGUGAAAAACCUGCUCCUUUCACAUUCAGGGGGAAUAGGUUGCAAACAUGGAUGUUGAAGGUACAAAUAAAAGCAGAUAGACAUAAUAACUGUAACUUAGAACUGAACAACUUGUCUGAAGGCCCCUUGAACCCUUUGCUCCUUUCAGUCUCGUUGUAUUUUCGUGUGCUUUAUCCAGAUCUCCUGAGAGUGCAGUUCACUUGAAAAUCUUCUUACUGUAACAUCCUGAACUACACAGUAGCCCUCAUACCCCUGCCAAGCUGUUUUUCAUGGUCAGACAUAAAGUGGGCAUGCAUGAGACAAUCUGCUCUGUACUAACAUGGCUACAUCUGUUCCUCUCCUCCUACAGGGAGAACAUGGAGUCCACCAACAUCCAUCUUUACAGGAUGCAGCAGAGCGCAGGGCAGCUAAUGGUUCUGAGGAGGAGCAAAGGUCACAGUGAAGCCAGAUCAGCCACAAGGUAAAGACAUUUUUCCAAGUCUUGCUGUUUGCUCUGUUUCCCUUUUCUUUUCUGACUUAUUUCUUAGUGUUUAUUUAUAUAUAAAAUUCAAAAAAUGGUAUAGCUCUUUCACCUGCUUGUGCAACUUCUGUUCCGAUUUCAAACGGGGGUUGUUGCAUGCCUGCAAGCUCCAUACAGAGAAGAGAACAAAUCAUUUUGUACAAGUGAAGCUGCAAAUCUUUUGCCUCGAGUUGAAAAAUAGGUGGUCAGUAAAUAUACUUGGUUACCUGCUCAGUUGUGGCAUUGGCAGGUGAUGGCGGUGUACUCAAAAACUCAAUAAGACAAGAUAUCAUCAUGCUCUAAUGAUACCUGCAUCAAUGCACUUGUCACAGAUAACAGCCACAAAUGCUGUGAGUGCAGUUUGACGCAACAACUUCUUUGCAUUUGUUUUGAGUUUAAAGUCCCACUCUGAUUGUUUUUUUUUUUCUACUUAAAGUGUUCUCAGUGGUCUUCGCACUGUGAUCAUAAAGUUUUUAGCCAAAAUCAUGUUACCUGUGUCAUUUUCAAGGGCUUGUCUUCUGCAGAGCUCCAGUAGCUCAUUAGCAAUUCACCUCUGAGUCGUGGGCAGAGACAGCGCUGCUCUGCACACUCCUCAAGUUAGCUUGCAGCCGAACAUUGCUGGUGUAGUAAAAGGAGCAGGUAACAUAGGAGCUAUUCAGCUCUCGGACACUUUUGUCAUUAAGGGCAUGAUGAAAGCUAAUGCCAUAAUUAGUUUUCUUACGAGCGUUUCAAUUUGCUAACGCAGGCGCUUGUUUCGCUAUCGUCCUCUCUGUUUCUCUGAGCCUUGCUUGCUUGGCGGGGCCCCGGGGGCGGAGCUUGGAUUGGUUACGUACAAAAUCUCACUGUAUUUGAUCCUGCCGUUUGGGUCUGCCAGAGCUUCACAGUAAUUUGAAUGGAGAAAUGCUCAGAAAAGCAAUUUCGCACUUCUUUUCUUAAAGAUAUGUCUUGUAGAAAAAUGCCAUAUGAACAUGCAGACAACAAGAAAAACAUGAUUUUCAUUGGAGUGGGUCUUUAAGGACCUUAAACCAACCUUUGCUCGACUCACUACAUUUGUUUUUAGUUGUGUACUGUGAUGUUUUGUGGUACAUAUUGCAUCAUGAGGCUGAGUAACAAAAUCCAGACCCUAGCUGGUGAUGUGCUUGCUGUGGCUUUAUCUAGGGGGUGUGGUCACUAGUGCACCAGGUGGAAGAUGCAUAUCAUGAAAGGGAAUGACAUUCAGCUCCUAAUGGGAGGAAAAUACUUCUGCACAAGUCCCAAAUCUCAAGCCUACUUUUGGGCUUUCAUCCUUACGAAGUCUUGAGUCGUGUUUGUGUGUGACUAGAGUCCAAGUCCUACAUCUCUGGUUGCACACACAUGUGCUUAGAAAAUGAAAUUCCAGCUCUGUUCAUAACUUGGGAAAUGUAUCUUAAUAGAAGAACAUGAGCUUCAUGACACUUCGGCUAAUGCUGCUGGUGAAGAUGAUUGACAACCUCCGGCUGGAUGCCCUCUGGCUGUAGAAGCCGUUUUCCUCAUUUUACUGAAACAGAAAUUUUGUCUGUCAAGCACCUCAACCACUCUGACACUUUCACUAAAAAUACUUUCUGCAGUAGAUUUAAAAUAACUUUUUUUUUUCUGGGUUGAAAUUAAAAUUAAAGCUCCAAAAAUUGUCAGAGGUGAUAGUGGAAAUGAGGGUGGAGGUUAAGAGAGAUGCACCUGAAUCCCUGCCUGCCAUCAUGUUCCACCCUAUGUCGGCAUUUAGUUUUUGCCAUUUCAGUAAUAUGGCUGAAUCAAAGUGCGGACACGUUUCUGUAUUGCUGUGUGUGUGUGUGUGUGUGUGUGUGAGUGAGUGAGUGUGUGUGUGUGAGUGUGUGUGUGUGUGUGUGUGUGUGUGUGUGUGUGUGUGUGUGUGAGUGAGUGAGUGUGUGUGUGUGAGUGUGUGCGCUGUAAUCGAGUGUUUGGGUCUAUCUCCUCCUGCAGCUCAGGACUCCCAAGGGGACACAGGGAAGAAGUCAUUUGAUGGAUUUCCAGACCCCUGAGGACUAGCAAGGCCCUUUUCUCUCCCUAUUUUACUUUUAUUCAGGGAUGAAAACACAGAAAUGCAGCCGAUCUAUCCACUCAGUAUCAUUUUUUUUUUUUUUAACCUGACUGCUCCGUCUCUCUACCGCUGAGAAAAAUGAUCGCUUUUUGAGAGAGUUUGCUCUUUUGUGCCGAACUGGUAGGUCUAACAAAUAAACAAAUCAGAUUUUAUUUCCGUUACAUUGGCCACUUAUCUGAACAACGAAACUAACACAAAGAGAUUCAAUGGGCGCGCUGAUUCCUCCCUCUUAAUUACACAGCCCAGUUAAGAGGCAAAGUGAUCCUAAACAAAAGUCUUUAAAGAGAAAAAUGCAAAUGAAUGUGGAGACUAAGAGAGGGGGAAAUGAUGUUAUUAUUGUGGAGAGGAGUGAAAGCAGAGAUUAUUAGCUUUACUUGUCCAGGCCUCAAACUGUGUUCCUCCAACAACGAAGACUAGCUGUGUAGCUCCAUGUCUUUGCAUUCAUUUUCAUGGCUAUCUGUAAGCAUAACAGAGAGGGGGCGAGCUCUCCCCUUGGUCAAACACGGGGGCUUCAUGCUCCUGCAUAAUUCACUGUUGUGUGUAGUAAUCCACAGAGAAGGCAGAGUGGAACCGCAGAGCUUUUAAUGGUUAGAGGAGCUGCGAGCUGAGGGUCAUUGUGUCACUAAUGACUGAGAGAAACAAAGUGGACAGGGACCAGAGUCUGUGCCUCCUAUAUUAGUGAAAACCAUCUGUAUAAUUAACUGUACAUACACAAUUCAUCAUCGAAACUCUGCAGUUGGCGAGAGGACUGUUUGGAACAGUGCACCCACAAAGUCGUCCCGUACUUGAGUGUGACAUGCUAAUCUGAGGUGGCAUGUGCUGGAACAGUUUAAGAUGAUGCAAAAAUUCUGCUCGUAUCUUUCGAGAAAAUUUGCAAUACAUAAAUAUCUUCUUUCUGGGAAAAUAAAAGAAGACUGAUGCUGAAUAAAUGCUCGUGUGUCAUACAUGCUGUAGGCUACAUUGUAAUAUUCAUGCAGCUCCGUGAAAAUGUUUUGCCACUGUUGAAAUAUCAUGUUUGGAGCACAAAAACUGUGAUUUGCCAGUAUUGGCUGCUUCCAAGUGAGCACUAACCAUUCAUUUCUGCCCCCAUUCAGCUUUCCUUAUUGGAACUUUACAACUUACAUACUUAAAACAUAAAUUGGGUACAUGCCACAGCUUAGACUUUAUUACUAUUAGCACAAAUGCUUAUAGUUUAAGACCCUUUGCAGUGACCAACACUCUCCACCUCUGUUGCUGUUCGCUGGUCAGACUUUUGUGAACCCUUUUCCAAUCUGCCAUUGUUAGGGUCCUGAGACUGCUCUUAUCUGUGUACAAUGUUAGCUUAAUUUGAAUGCUGAUUGCAGUUAGCUUUUUUUUGCCACAUCAAGUUGUAGUUUUGGUUUACAGUGAGCAGCCAGCAUCACUUAACAUUGUCCCCAAUGUUUAUUCCUUUACACCACAUUGUUAGAAGUAUCUGGACUCUGAAAAGACUGUACAGACAGCUGAGGUGUGUGGUACCUCCCUUUAAAACUUUAGUAUUUUAAUUGAAUAAAAGGUAAUGAGUCAUGUGGCUGAUAAAGAAAACAAAUAAACAAGAAACCAAUGUUAACCCUUAUUACCUGCCAUCCCCCGUCCCCUGUUUAAGUUCUUUGUGAUUUUUUUCUGGACAAAAACUCUGAUUUACUUAGAUUCACAUUUGAGUAAUGCUUGAUAGGCAUGAUCCUUCAUCUGUUAUGUUUUUACAACACAAAUUCAUCUAAGCACAACAUUAACAACCAAUCUCACUUGUUCCUCUCUGUUCUCCAACC
rnacentral:lncRNA from 1 species